rnacentral:rRNA from 1 species
AGUGAACGCUGGCGGUAGGCCUAACACAUGCAAGUCGAACGGCAGCACCGUAAGAGCUUGCUCUUACGGGUGGCGCGUGGCGGACGGGUGAGGGAUACAUCGGAAUCUACUUUUUCGUGGGGGAUAACGUAGGGAAACUUACGCUAAUACCGCAUACGACCUACGGGUGAAAGCAGGGGAUCUUCGGACCUUGCGCGAUUGAAUGAGCCGCUGUCGGAUUAGCUAGUUGGCGGGGUACAGGCCCACCAAGGCGACGAUCCGUAGCUGGUCUGAGAGGAUGAUCAGCCACACUGGAACUGAGACACGGUCCAGACGCCUACGGGAGGCAGCAGUGGGGAAUAUUGGACAAUGGGCGCAAGCCUGAUCCAGCCAUACCGCGUGGGUGAAGAAGGCCUGCGGGUUGUAAAGCCCUUUUGUUGGGAUAGAAAAGCAGCAGGUUAAUACCCCGCUGUUCUGACGGUACCUAAAGAAUAAGCACCGGCUAACUUCGUG